CUCAAUGGUAGCGUGUAGCGGUAAAGGUUCGCCCUUUGCUGUGUUCCAAUUGUCGCAGUUUUCGAGACCGUUACACGUUACCGCCAAA
rfam:Pasteurella bettyae CCTG 2042 contig00005, whole genome shotgun sequence.